AACGAACGCUGGCGGCAUGCCUAACACAUGCAAGUCGAACGAGACCUUCGGGUCUAGUGGCGCACGGGUGCGUAACGCGUGGGAACCUGCCCUUAGGUUCGGAAUAACUCCCCGAAAGGGGUGCUAAUACCGGUUAAUUUCUUCGGACCAAAGAUUUAUCGCCUUUGGAUGGGCCCGCGUUGGAUUAGCUAGUUGGUAGGGUAAAAGCCUACCAAGGCGACGAUCCAUAGCUGGUCUGAGAGGAUGAUCAGCCACACUGGGACUGAGACACGGCGCAGACUACUACGGGAGGCAGCAGAGGGGAAUAUAGGAAAAUGGGCGAAAGCAUGAUACAGCAAUGCGGCGUGAGUGAUGAAGGCGUUAGGGUUGUAAAGCUCUUUUACACGGGAAGAUAAUGACAGUACCGGGAGAAUAAGCUCCGGCUAACUCCGUG
rnacentral:rRNA from 1 species